rnacentral:lncRNA from 1 species
AGCCCAGGGCUCCCCAGCACUCACAGCCCCCACACUCUCUCUGUGUGUUUAGGGGCAUGUGGUGACCACUUACCCCACUGCCAGUCAGCAAAUCAGGCAAGUGCGUCUCACUGGAUUUGUGCAAGGACAGCUGGGACAGAGUUUAAUGUGACCUUAAGCCUUACUCUACAAGAGAUCCAAGUCCAUGAAAACUGUGCAGAUGUCAGGGGGCCCCACCCAUGUGGCUCCCGUGGCCUCUGGCCGUGGCUCCAGUCUCCUGCCUCCCUUGUGUCACGCGGUGGCUGCCUUGGACGUUCUGCUCUCAGGAAUCCCAGAAAGUGGUGCUGCUUUGUGAGACUUGAGGAGGUUUGUGGAGACCUCGAGAGGCAAAGGGCAAGCUUGCCACCCCCCCCCCCCCCAGGCAUCACCACCUCCCUUGGUCCUGCCCGUCCUGGAGCUGGCCCGAGCAGUCACGUGUGUUGCUCCCCCUCUUCGUGGAGGGGCAACACAGGAACCUGCGCUGUUCUUUCGUCUGCUCGGCCCUCCCCGGGUUUGCUGCUGGUUCUUCCCGGGUUGGCUACUAUCCCUUUCCACCUCCGUAGAAGGGCAGUUCCCCCUGGCCACAUUCCCCACUUCCGCAGAGGAGCGGCACACCGCCGGCCGGUUCUCUCGGGGGCUGCACAGGUGUUCCCUCAGAUGUUCCCCUUAGAUGUUCCCCUUAGAUGUUCCCGGUGCAUGCCGUCUCUCUCCUCCUUUAUAGUCCUCCUCCGCCAAUCCCAACUCGGCUGCCCACACGCCGAGUACGCUGCUCUCCUCCAAUCAGGAGCAAGUCCUACAGUUUAUUGGUUGAACUGGAGGCAGCUGUGCGGAAGCUGUUUACUUCUCUCCCAGCGCCAUAUUGUGGGAGAGCAGAUGCAUAGAAUAAGUCUUAAUUCCAGUAACUUGGUCCAAUCCGGAUUGCUCCCCACAGAUCCCCCUUUCUUUUUAUUUUUUGGCGUUGAUACGCGCCUGUCUUCGGUGUCCCGCGGCACACACUCUGCUCUACUUGCUAAAGUUGCCACAGGUUCUUACAAGUCCUAUCAGGCAAACCGAAUCCGGGUCCUCUCUUCGCCAUGUUGUGAGGAGGUUUUUAGGCGCUGA